UACGGGGGGAGCAAGCGUUGUUCGGAUUUACUGGGCGUAAAGGGCGCGUAGGCGGCCACCGCAAGUCGACUGUGAAAUCUCCGGGCUUAACUCGGAAAGGUCAGCCGAUACUGCGGGGCUAGAGUGCAGAAGGGGCAACUGGAAUUCCCGGUGUAGUGGUGAAAUGCGUAGAUAUCGGGAGGAACACCAGUGGCGAAGGCGACUACCUGGCCUGUUCUUGACGCUGAGGCGCGAAAGCUAGGGGAGCAAACGGG
rnacentral:rRNA from 1 species